GUAGGUCAGGUCGGGAGUCCCCGGAGUCCCCGCCCGCCCUGGUCCCAGAAGCGCCCCUGCCCGCGGGCGUGGGCAGCCCCAUGAGCCGGGGCGCUUGGUCGGGUCAUCCGCAGAGGCCGGGCGCGUGCAGCAGGACGGGCGGCUGAGCUACGCCGACCCCGUGUGGUUCCUCAUCUCCGAGGGAGGACAAGACGACGCCCACCAGGUGCUCGCGCGCCCGCCCCGGGUGCCCGGGUCGGGGUCCCCCCGCCCCGGCCCCCUGACCCGCCCGGCCUGGCCCGCGGCAUCGAGUACUGGUUCCGCUGCAUGGACCUGGAUGGGGACGGCGCGCUGUCCAUGUUCGAGCUCGAAGUUCUUCUACGCCGAGCAGAGCUGCCGGCUGGACGCCAUGGGCAUUCGGCCGCUGCCCUUCGAGGACUGCGUGUGCCAGGGAGGGUCACGCUCUGCGUGGACCUGAAGCGCUGCCCUGGGUGGCCGGCGCCUUCUUCGAUACCUUCUUCAACGUGGAGAAGUACCUGGAGCGCGUAGCAGCGGGAGCAGGGGGCCCUGCUCCAGGGAUGGCGACGGCCAGGGCCCCGAGCUCUCCGACUGGGAGCGGUUCGCCGCCGAGGAGUACGAGCGUCCUGGUGGCCGAGGAGGGCGGCGGCGACGCGUGGGAGGACGGGUCCGAGGAGGCGGCGCUGAGCCCCGUGGAGGCGGAGCAGAGGCCGCUGUUCGGGGCGGGACCGGCCUGGGCGCCCUGCGCCUGUGGGAGCUGCCGUGCGCGGAGGCCGAGCUGCAGCCGCUGUGACACUGCCCGCCCGCCCUGGCCCGCACCCAUGGUCACGGGGCGCGGCGGGGACCGCCUGGGCGUGGCGGCGGGCGGCUCGACGUUUGUGUUGAGAAUAAAGAGUUGAGAUGGUUUGGUAGCCCGCGCUGUCCGUGCCUCGGCCCAGGGCGGGACAGCAGGCCCUCGCGCCGGCGUCCCCGUGGGCACAGCCCCCUGUCCCCGCGCGGGUUCCGCCCAGCGCCCAGCAGGUGGACAGACGCCCGAGUGGGGCGGGAAGCCUCGGCAGGGCGCGUGGUCGUCCCAGCUCGGGAGGCUGAGGCAGGAGGACCCUCGAGUUCCAGCAUAGCCUGUGAGAAUAAAAAGCGCACACGGUUUCAGGCCCUGCCCGAGACAGAAAACUAAGACCGGAAGUUUUACCAGCGGCCUG
rnacentral:lncRNA from 1 species